CAUGUCACAUGUGCUUACAAGAUCUCGGGAGACUGCGUCUUAGCUCAGCCAGCGCAGUUCAGCGCAGUUCGUUUUUAAGCAACUGCGCUGGCCAAAACCCUCCCCAAUGACGUCAGUUCAAAGUUGUGAUAGGGCCGUUUGGAAGAAUCUCCCCAUGACGAGUAUGACAGGUGUCUCGUUCUGCCUCCUUACCCAAGACACUAGAGCGGACCAAGACGGAUCAGUUCAACUGCACUAAAACCAACGUCUGGGAUGACGCUGGAGCUUAUCCCUGUGAUCCAUCUUGCUCUGUUCUAGAAUCUUUGCUCCUUACGUUAGAAUCUGCUAAAAUGAACAGAAAUCGAACGGAUACCUUCUUAUUUGUGAUUUUUGGAACAGCGGUAGGCUAGCCUACUGAAAACGUGAGGAUACUCUGCUAUUUUAUGCUGUUGGUUAAAUAUAUACACACGGAAAACACUUGAUAUUUAAUUAAUGUGCUGCAAUGCAGGCCUGUUUAACUGUAUGACAACAGUGGUUUAUUUAAACACAUCAUAUCAAUUUAUUUCGUCAGUCACCAUGCUCAUUUUAAUGAGUAAGAAUAAAAGUUUUACUGUAUUUAAUACAAAAUCCCGCGAUAUCUACCGCGAUAUCUACCGCGAAGUCUCCAGCGAGGUCUCUCGCGAGUAACUUCAGGUACGUAAGCUCAGUCAGACUGUCCGGGAUGAGCUGCGUGUGCUAGUCGCCCCUCCUGCUAAGACUCUGCAGCUCUCGUUGACGUAUGAAGCCAGCCUAAGUCAGCCUAAGUCAGCCGCAGCUCAUCGCAAACGCACCUACUGUUGGCAUGCUGAGGGAGAUUUCUGGAUAUGGCAGCAUCAACCCCACGCCAUAUUCGAGAGCACGCCCGGCCCGAGGCUGUACAUGUGCAUCGGAGUGGGCCUGCAACACAGACGACGGCGUAGAGGGGAAACAAUCGAAAUUGAAGUCUAGAUUGGGCUUCAAGGGUUCAGAUGUAGGCCUAUCUACCUGCAGCUCUAGUUCUUGUAAAAUUUCAUACGAAGAUCCAGUGGUCCAUGAUAUGUUGUUUCAAAGCAAACUAAACUGUUUCAGAUUGAGGCGAAGACACAUACCAUUUUCAUCAUGAACUAAGUUAGCGGUGGUAUCUCAACUCAGUGGAACAGUUUGGAGGACUAGGACUUCGAUGACGCGUGUUUUAUUCUAGGCUACCUGCCUACAGUGUGCUGUAGAUCCUAACUGUCGCCACACCUCAUUGAUGACAUCAGCCCCAGGCCUAGUAUUCAAUCAUGCGUCGAUGAAGA